rnacentral:rRNA from 1 species
UACGAAGGGGGCUAGCGUUGCUCGGAAUCACUGGGCGUAAAGGGUGCGUAGGCGGGUUUUUAAGUCAGGGGUGAAAUCCUAGAGCUCAACUCCAGAACUGCCUUUGAUACUGAAGAUCUUGAGUCCGGGAGAGGUGAGUGGAACUGCGAGUGUAGAGGUGAAAUUCGUAGAUAUUCGCAAGAACACCAGUGGCGAAGGCGGCUCACUGGCCCGGUACUGACGCUGAGGCACGAAAGCGUGGGGAGCAAACAGG